AAGGAAAUCACAUCAUGGCUAAAACUAUUUACUGCUACAACAUUGUAAUUAGGAUCCAGUAGCUGGAAUCUUAAUUGCAUCCCUAGAAUUUUCAGCAAGGUAAAACUAUGAUCUCUUACUAUACCCAUGACUGUGGUCAAUGCAUUCCAUUGAUGAGUACUAAAUGCAAAACUUCUCUACCAUGUUACUCAUUGCAUGUCUGUGUUGAGAUGUACACUCUAUCCCUCAAGACCAAUGUGAUCAUUCUCUGGACAGCCAAAAGCAUAUUGGUUAGUACUCCAUCUAAUGGCAGCAUCAGAGUAAACAACACAGAAACUACUAAACCAACCUGUUAUUCAUGAUUAUACAUGGCAAGGAAAUAACUACACAUGAACUCCGUGAAAAGCUCUGGGCUUUUCUUCAUGUAAUGAGCGUUUCCUGGAUUCUUGAAUUAUAGCACUGCACACUGAGCAUUUCCACAGAUCUCCACUGUGUAAAAUGGGAGUUCUGUGCUUCUGUCAUGUAUCUGAAAGGACGGCUUCUGUGGUUUUCCUGUGAAAUUGUAAAACCACACUUAAGAUGUCUCUGAAAUAUAGAUGAUUUGCUACUCUUCAGUGACUAACAAUUUAAUUCGAUGAUAGAAUUUUGAGGGUUUCUGAAGACCUUACCAUGGAUCAGAGCCCAAGACUGCUUCAACUUUCACUUUAUGAAGCACAGUGUCACAGCAUCCAUUCUUGCAAUUGCAAGAGCCAGAAAAUGGCCUUUGUGAUAAUGCCACUGAGAUUUAGAACGUUAAAGCAAUCUCAUUAUCAGUUUACAUCCCCAGUUGGAAAUCAGAGAUUGUUCAGCGCAUCAAACAGUUGAGUUGGGGCAUGUAAUGUGCAGCCCAAGGGCCAAGCGAGACCUGCUGAGUCAUAUAAUGUGGGCUCCAGCUGCCCUCCUCCUGUUGCUGAAGGAUGAGGAUAUAGUAGCAGAACUGAUUGAUGCUGCUAAUGAACUUCAAUGACAAUGAAUUAUUUGCCAUCUGCAUAAUGUGGAAGGAUUCCUGGGGAUAAAACCUGAGUCUGUACCACCCUGAAAAUUCUGGAAGAAGGGAUCUGUGUUGUUCUGUGGACCACUGGGGAGUCACAGACGAGAGGUGCCAGAAGGUCAGCUCCUCCCAUAGUAUGAACUGCAUGAGAAGCUAAGGGAGCAUCAACCUUGACUAGGAGCACCAUUCAAAAGAUGAGACAAAAAAAAGCAUCUUUCUGUGUCCUGGUGGAUUUUAUUUCUGUAAAUCAUUGUUUCAGUGUCUCCUAAAAGUACAAUUGUCUUGAAAAUGUUCACAUCUUAAAACUAUUAAUUCAUUUCAGGUUUUAUUUUGUGAUUUAUGGUGUUUGAGAGUUUUAUUUUGUACUUGUUGACAGUCAUGAGGGAUAAAAAACUUAAAUUUCCUUAAAAUUAAAGCUGAAAUUCUCUUCCAAUCUCUUGACUCCAGGAGCUCAGGUCAACUGCUGGCAGAUGCUUAAUAAUUUAGUCCUAAUAAUUGCUAUGAUUUUCUGUUACAGUACCUUCAGUGAGAAUGAAAAUAUGAAUUACAAACUGUGAAUGAGUAU
ensembl:lncRNA